UCCCCGGUAGCUCAGCGGUAGAGCAAUCGGCUGUUAACCGAUUUGUCGUAGGUUCGAUCCCUACCCGGGGAGCCA
rnacentral:tRNA from 1 species